UACGAAGGGGGCUAGCGUUGCUCGGAAUUAUUGGGCGUAAAGAGCUUGUAGGCGGUUUGUCGCGUCUGCUGUGAAAAUCCGGGGCUCAACCCCGGACUUGCAGUGGGUACGGGCAGACUAGAGUGCGGUAGGGGUGACUGGAAUUCCUGGUGUAGCGGUGGAAUGCGCAGAUAUCAGGAGGAACACCGAUGGCGAAGGCAGGUCACUGGGCCGCAACUGACGCUGAGGAGCGAAAGCAUGGGGAGCGAACAGG
rnacentral:rRNA from 1 species